UCCAUUAGCUCAGUUUGGGAGAGCGCCGUGCUUAUGAGGUCAUACCCUUAUACCAGAGCCACGCGGACGUCGCCAGUUCGAUCCUGGCAUGGAGCAA